CCUACGGGAGGCUGCAGUGGGGAAUAUUGGACAAUGGGGGGAACCCUGAUCCAGCGACGCCGCGUGAGCGAUGAAGUAUUUCGGUAUGUAAAGCUCUAUUAGCAGGGAAGAAAAUGACGGUACUUGACUAAGAAGCACCGUCUAACUACGUUACAGCAGCCGCGGUAAUACGUAGGGGGCAGGCGUUAUUCGGAUGUGUUGGGUGUAAAGGGGGCGUAGACGGCGGUGCCAGUCAGAUGUGAAAGCCCGGGGCUCAACCCCGGGACUGCAUUUGGAACUGUGCUGCUAGAGUGUGGGAGAGGCAGGCGGAAUUCCUUGUGUAGCGGUGAAAUGCGUAGAUAUUAGGAGGAACACCAGUGGCGAAGGCGGCCUGCUGGACGAUGACUGACGUUGAGGCUCGAAAGCGUGGGGAGCAAACAGGAUUAGAUACCCGUGUAGUC
rnacentral:rRNA from 1 species